AUGGAACAAUUCAAGGGCCAAACAAGAUUACAAAAUUUGUAACAAAGCUGAGUCUUAAAGAGUUCUGAAGCAGAAUGUGAAUUGAUGAGCAACUAUCGUCAUCGAAAUCUUGCCAAACUUCAGCACUUGCUCCAGCAUUGAAUUCUAAGCCUUAAUCCUCGAUUACAUGCCAAAUGGAAGCUUAGAAAAGUGGUUGUAUUCAUCCAACUAUUUUUCGGAUAUCCAGCGGAGACUAGACAUUGUUAUAGACGUUGCAUCAGCACUGGAGUAUCUUCACCAUCUUCAACCAACUCCAGUUAUUAACUGUGAUCUCAUCUCAAGCCCAGAAAUGUUUUGCUAGAUGAGGAUAUGGUUGCCAAUAAUGCAAGUGACUUUGGUGUUUCCAAACUUUUAGAUAACAAGGAGCAGAUGAUAGCACCAGGCAUUUAUUAUCAAAGAAAGCUGAUGUUUACAGUUAUGGGGUUAUGUUGUAGCUGUUCACAAUAAGGAAGCCUACCGAUGAAAUUUUUGAUGAGAUGAUCCUGACAGACAGGGUGAGUAACUCUCUGCUUCACUCAGUCUCUGAAGCUGCGGACAGCAGUUUAAUGGGAAGAGAGGAUAAAAAGUUUGCUGCCAGGGUGCAAUGCUUUGCAUCUGUCUUGAGUUUGGGUAUUGCAACAUAUAUGUGAAUAAAAUGAACAAACAGUUCAAAGGUACACAACUGAAAUUAUCAAUAUAUCAAGAGAUGCUUUUUCUCCAAAUUCUCUCCUAUGAAAUAGUGAAGAAUGGUAUGGUCAUCAUCUGCUAUCAUGACUGUUAGUCCUCCUUGCUGCUAACAAUGUUGAUGAGGUACUGAUUCAAAUGCU
rnacentral:misc_RNA from 1 species